CUGUACUCUCCUGAUAGCGGCCCUGGUGCUACUUACAGAACUAAUAAGCCAGAGGUUCCUUUUCAUUGUAUGUGCUUGCCACUGGCUAAAUGUGAGCAGUGCAUUCAGACUAGAAAGCAGACUGCUGCUGCCGACCUUGCAGAUUGUGUAAUUGGCUUCCAGAGGGGAAGGCAUUAAAUACACUUUUAAAGAUGGGCCUGGAGGGAUCAUUGUUUACCUGGUUCCUUGUGCUUGAGAUCUGACCAUCCAUACUGUUCCACACACUCUAUGAUUCAGGCAGAUGCACGGCUGCAGUAAGGUAAAUGCACAAGCCUCAAGCCUCUCACCACCUGCAGUGCUUCACAGGUAGGAAAUCAUGGGGCAGUCCUGCUUACCUGCUCUGAACUCUGUCAAUCUCACAAUACAUCUCCUGGUGCUUAAAGUGAACUGCAGUAUGUGCGGUUUAGCUUUUUCCCAAACUAGCAAUGCAAAACGAAGAUCCAUUCAGUCAUGUGUUCAACUUUACAUACUGAAAAAUAUUUGGUAUCAUUUCAAUCACAUAGAAC